GACGAACCGAGCGAACGUUGUUCGGAAUCACUGGGCUUAAAGGGCGCGUAGGCGGGUGCUCAAGUCCGGGGUGAAAUCCUCCAGCUCAACUGGAGAACUGCCUCGGAUACUGGGUGCCUCGAGGGUGGUAGGGGUAUGCGGAAUUAUCGGUGGAGCGGUGAAAUGCGUUGAUAUCGAUAGGAACUCCGGUGGCGAAGGCGGCAUACUGGACCACAUCUGACGCUGAGGCGCGAAAGCCAGGGGAGCAAACGGG
rnacentral:rRNA from 1 species